GAUGAACGCUGGCGGCGUGCCUAAUACAUGCAAGUCGAGCGAACGGACGAGAAGCUUGCUUUUCUGAUGUUAGCGGCGGACGGGUGAGUAACACGUGGAUAACCUACCUAUAAGACUGGGAUAACUUCGGGAAACCGGAGCUAAUACCGGAUAAUAUUUUGAACCGCAUGGUUCAAAAGUGAAAGACGGUCUUGCUGUCACUUAUAGAUGGAUCCGCGCUGCAUUAGCUAGUUGGUAAGGUAACGGCUUACCAAGGCAACGAUGCAUAGCCGACCUGAGAGGGUGAUCGGCCACACUGGAACUGAGACACGGUCCAGACUCCUAAGGGAGGCAGCAGUAGGGAAGCUUCCGCAAUGGGCGAAAGCCUGACGGAGCAACGCCGCGUGAGUGAUGAAGGUCUUCGGAUCGUAAAACUCUGUUAUUAGGGAAGAACAUAUGUGUAAGUAACUGUGCACAUCUUGACGGUACCUAAUCAGAAAGCCACGGCUAACUACGUG
rnacentral:rRNA from 1 species